GUGCUUGCUUUGGCAGCACAUAUACUAAAACUGGAAUGAUACAGAGAAGAUUAUCUUGGCCCCUGCAUAAAGAUCACAUGGAAAUUCAGGAAGUGUUCCAUGUUUUG